AGAAGCCCAAAGAGACAGUUUAGGGGACAUAAAACAGCAAAAAUGGAUUUAAAGGAAAGCCCAGUCAUUCACACUUAGAAGAAUUCCUGGACUAACAAUUCUAAGCCAAGGCAGCUGCGGCAACGUUGAGGCAGAAUCAAAACCUGGGGAAAGACCUUAGGUAUUCAGAACAAAACAAUCAGCAGGCGGGUCUGCGGCAUUCUAAGAACAGACACUGGCAGGAACAAAGGUUACAGAAGUGAAUGACUCUAAGAAUCAAGCAAGACAUGGAGUGGCAGAAAAUUAAAUUCUGAAUCCCUAAAAGACAUGAUGCAAAGAUGACCUCCUCUCCCAAGGACAUGUCCUCAUCCUGCGCUGACCGUGUGUGGUCAUUUCAGAAAAAGCGAACAAUGGAGAACCUGCUUGAAUGAUACUUAGACCUGGGACAACUGAAAGGAGUUGCACUUAUACAAUUCGGUGCAGUGGAGUCCCCUGGGAGGAGCCCCAGUCACACGGGAAGAGACAGUCACAGCUGUAAUAAAUGAUGGCUAGCAUGUAUCAAGCACUGGCCGAGUCCUCAGCAUACAUUACAUUACAGAAUUCAGUGUGCACCUCAACACUCUGGGGGUGUAUUUUAUAGGAGAACUGUGGCACAAAGAGGGGUUUUGCAAUCCCAAGAAGAGUCAGCGUUUGAAUUUUGAAUUUAUGUGCAAAAGAGACAAAUAUGGCUAAAGGGCAUGGGCACACUCUCUCUGGGUCCCCGUGUUAACGAUUUUAGUAGCUUCUAUUUAAAUGGUGCUCUUUCUCUAAGAAGAUCAUUGGGUAUUUUCUGAAAGCUUACAUAAUGGCUGGAAGCCCCCUGCCUCUGCAAAGGAACACCUGAUUCAGAAAAGUAAACACCAUAACAGCAACCCAUUCAUCAGCUGCCCAGACUCACAACCAAGCAGACAUGCAGCGACUUUCCAAAAACCCUCAUUUCUGGCAUUACAGCCUGUGGCAAUAACAGAGUUAAGGAAAGGUAAGUGAAACUCAGAGAGACACAGUGAGAUAAUUAUUCCUCACGCCUGUUAGAAGAACAUUCCACCGUCUCAGAAGAAGCCCUGUCUGAAUCUGAUUCAGCUGAGAAAACAACUCAGGCCAUGGUAGCUGCACCCAACUCUCUAAAU
rnacentral:lncRNA from 1 species